AUGCUCAUCCGAUCUGGGAGAUACCAUGAUCACGAAGGUGGUUUUCCCAGGGCGAGGCUUAUCCAUUGCACUCCGGAUGUGCUGACCCCUGCGAUUUCCCCAAAUGUGGGAAACUCGACUGCAUAAUUUGUGGUAGUGGGGGACUGCGUUCGCGCUUUCCCCUGUGUUCUUACUUGUCUGAAAGUCAGACUGCGGGUUUUAAGUGUUUUAUAAAACUGGUUUUCAGCUGUUUCAGUAAUGCUCUUCUCUAAAAAUCUCUGUUUGUGUGACUUAACUGUUAUUUACGUUCUACGAAGGAUUCCUGAAAAACCGCAACUCUAGCUCGCCGGACUAUAGAUUAGAUCUUACGGGGUUGUCUCAUCUCCCGCAGAUUGGAACUGGAAGGACGCUAGGUUCUAGUAGCUCUCCGUCACCCUGACGUUACUGAAAUUCACGGCUUUGAAUCGGUGAUGGUAUGAAACUGUUAUAGUUUCCUGUUGUCACAUUUUCUUAUGCUUUUAAAUGUCACCCUGCUUAUUUAACUUAUACGCAGAGUACAUCAUGGGAAACGCUGGGCUGGAAGAAGCUCAAGCUGGAA